rnacentral:rRNA from 1 species
UCUUGGUCAUUUAGAGGAAGUAAAAGUCGUAACAAGGUUUCCGUAGGUGAACCUGCGGAAGGAUCAUUAAAGAAAUUUAAUAAUUUUGAAAAUGGAUUUUUUUGUUUUGGCAAGAGCAUGAGAGCUUUUACUGGGCAAGAAGACAAGAGAUGGAGAGUCCAGCCGGGCCUGCGCUUAAGUGCGCGGUCGUGCUAGGCUUGUAAGUUUCUUUCUUGCUAUUCCAAACGGUGAGAGAUUUCUGUGCUUUUGUUAUAGGACAGUUAAAACCGUUUCAAUACAACACACUGUGGAGUUUUCAUAUCUUUGCAACUUUUUCUUUGGGCAUUCGAGCAAUCGGGGCCCAGAGGUAACAAACACAAACAAUUUUAUCUAUUCAUUAAAUUUUUGUCAAAAACAAGAAUUUUCGUAACUGGAAAUUUUAAAAUAUUAAAAACUUUCAACAACGGAUCUCUUGGUUCUCGCAUCGAUGAAGAACGCAGCGAAAUGCGAUACGUAAUGUGAAUUGCAGAAUUCCGUGAAUCAUCGAAUCUUUGAACGCACAUUGCGCCCCUUGGUAUUCCAGGGGGCAUGCCUGUUUGAGCGUCAUUUCCUUCUCAAACAUUCUGUUUGGCAGUGAGUGAUACUCUUUGGAGUUAACUUGAAAUUGCUGGCCUUUUCAUUGGAUGUUUUUUUUCCAAAGAGAGGUUUCUCUGCGUGCUUGAGGUAUAAUGCAAGUACGGUCGUUUUAGGUUUUACCAACUGCGGCUAAUCUUUUUUUAUACUGAGCGUAUUGGAACGUUAUCGAUAAGAAGAGAGCGUCUAGGCGAACAAUGUUCUUAAAGUUUGACCUCAAAUCAGGUAGGAGUACCCGCUGGACUUAAGCAUAUCAAUAAGCGGAG